GAUGAACGCUGGCGGCGUGCCUAAUACAUGCAAGUCGAGCGAACAGAUAAGGAGCUUGCUCCUUUGACGUUAGCGGCGGACGGGUGAGUAACACGUGGGUAACCUACCUAUAAGACUGGGAUAACUUCGGGAAACCGGAGCUAAUACCGGAUAAUAUUUCGAACCGCAUGGUUCGAUAGUGAAAGAUGGUUUUGCUAUCACUUAUAGAUGGACCCGCGCCGUAUUAGCUAGUUGGUAAGGUAACGGCUUACCAAGGCGACGAUACGUAGCCGACCUGAGAGGGGGAUCGGCCACACUGGAACUGAGACACGGUCCAGACGCCUACGGGAGGCAGCAGUAGGGAAUCUUCCGCAAUGGGCGAAAGCCUGACGGAGCAACGCCGCGUGAGUGAUGAAGGUCUUCGGAUCGUAAAACUCUGUUAUUAGGGAAGAACAUACGUGUAAGUAACUGUGCACGUCUUGACGGUACCUAAUCAGAAAGCCACGGCUAACUACGU
rnacentral:rRNA from 1 species